rnacentral:misc_RNA from 1 species
UGGAACAGGGCGCCAGGGAA